UCUUUCCGUUAUUCUCUUUCUCAGUCUUACUUCUUCCUGGAAGUAUUGCAUAAUUACUUCAGCCAGAGAUUCUGUUUUCCUCUGAGCUACAGAAGCACUGACACUUGGUACCACUCACUCAUCAUGGACAGACUGCCAGCAGUCUGGGACAUCCUCUGAAAGUAUAAAGGUUGACCUGAACAGAGAAGAGAGAAGAAGGGAGAAGGAGGGACAGACAGCAAAGGACGGAGAGAAUGAGAAGCAAGUGAGUAAGAAUGGAGAUGGAGAAGAGGAAACUGAAUAAGUUCCUGUGCAUAGGAGGUACAGGGAUCCAGAAAUGUGCCCCUCUGUGCCUUUGAGGAUUUAGAAAAGACAGAGAACAAAAGAAUUGCUUUCUGGAACCCAUAUAAGCCUUGAUAUUUUAUGUUCUGCAACACUGUUGGGCUUUCUGGUCUCCUGCAUUCUUGGCUACCAUAAACUGAGUGCUCGCCAUGUUCCAGGUCAAGUCCAGGAUGGGUGUUCCUGAUUGAUAAGAAGCUCUCCUCCAGCUGG